rnacentral:rRNA from 1 species
UACGUGGGGGGCAAGCGUUGUCCGGAUUUAUUGGGCGUAAAGAGCGUGUAGGCGGCCAUACAGGUCAGCUGUGAAAACUCGAGGCUCAACCUCGAGACGUCGGUUGAAACCGUAUGGCUAGAGUCCGGAAGAGGAGAGUGGAAUUCCCGGUGUAGCGGUGAAAUGCGCAGAUAUCGGGAAGAACACCCGUGGCGAAGGCGGCUCUCUGGGACGGUACUGACGCUGAGACGCGGAAAGCGUGGGGAGCGAACAGG